rnacentral:rRNA from 1 species
UGAGUAGGCGGCAUGGUAAGCCAGAUGUGAAAGCCCGCAGCUUAACUGCGGGAUUGCAUUUGGAACUACUAAGCUAGAGUACAGGAGAGGAAAGCGGAAUUCCUAGUGUAGCGGUGAAAUGCGUAGAUAUUAGGAAGAACACCGGUGGCGAAGGCGGCUUUCUGGACUGAAACUGACGCUGAGGCACGAAAGCGUGGGGAGCGAACA